GUCAUCCAACAUGCUGUAAUAGAAAUAAGGCCAUGCUCAUCAUAAAUGUCACUCUCUCUGUCUGUAGGACACUGAUGGACUGAGGAGGACAACACUUGUGGACUGAGGAGGAUGACACUGUAGACAUGUCACCUGUACACCAGGCAGCGUCGUGGAAUAUUCUAAUCAACAGUCAGUAGAAGCUGUCCCCACAGUGUCAAGGACAGACAGGGGCUGGAGAGACUGGACAACAUGCUGCUAAGGCUGCAGACAGGGCUGAAGGACAAUCACACCCUCACCCUCACACCUCACAGCCGAGGGUCCUGGAUCUCUCUGGUCAAAAUUCAGCAUUCAUUAUUGUGUUAGUUGAGUCCAUUAGUAUCUGGACAAAGCUCUUGAAGCCAUUUUCUUGUUGUUGUAACAGCUGCUUGUAGAACCAUUUUUGUUAGUUUAAAAGAACCAUAACUCCCACCACAUUAUUUAUAUUCCUUGCUUGCGAUACGGUUUUGGAAACCUUUAGAAGU
rnacentral:lncRNA from 13 species